CAGAAUUAUCCUUGUCUCUACCCUCUGUGUGGGAUUAGUGCUGGGAGCCUGUGAUCCAAAAACUGGAAUCGAGACCAAGCAGUGUUCCCAGAGGGAGAGUUACACCAUAUCCUGUGGGUUUUUGAAUUGGUCCAGAUGUAACCGAUACAGAACCAGCUACAAAACUUG